rnacentral:lncRNA from 1 species
CCAAACACAGUGAUGCUCACCUCCAAGUUUCUCAGAAGGCCUCUAAAAGGGGGAGAGAGUUGGAAGAAUCCAGUAGUUGAAAUGGUAAAUACACUUCAAUAAUAGGAUGACCUUUCAUUCAGGACCAAGGAGGGAGUUCAAGGAGAACUAGCCCAAGGCACUAAAACAAAUGCUGAUCUUAGAAAUUGGUGAUGGGCUAGAUGGUUCCUGGAGAAUUCAUGAACUUUGGAAGGGAAGAAGACCUGCAAAGAAAAUUCCUAUCGGGCUCUGAAUAUCAGCUUCCAGUUUACCCAAAUUUCUGUUCAGAAACUGCUAAAUCCUUUCAAACGUCUUGUCAUAUUUCAGCUGGGACAAACAGUAACUAUAUGUGGCAGUAUUGAACAGCAGUCUCCCAG